UAAUGCAUAUAAAAUUGGUGUGAAUUUC
rnacentral:piRNA from 1 species